UGCAUGAGCGUCAGUGUCAGCCCAGAGACCUGCCUUCGCCAUCGGUGUUCCUCCUGAUAUCUACGCAUUUCACUGCUACACCAGGAAUUCCAGUCUCCUCUGCCGCACUCCAGCCUUGCAGUCCCAAAUGCCAUUCCCAGGUUAAGCCCGGGGAUUUCACAUCUGGCUUACAAAACCGCCUGCGCACGCUUUACGCCCAGUAAUUCCGAUUAACGCUCGCACCCUACGUAUUACCGCGGCUGCUGGUACGUAGUUAGCCGGUGCUUAUUCUUCCGGUACCGUCAUUACGGCGCGAUAUUCACGCGCCGCGUUUCGUUCCGGACAAAAGAGCUUUACAACCCGAAGGCCUUCUUCACUCACGCGGAAUGGCUGGAUCAGGGUUGCCCCCAUUGUCCAAAAUUCCCCACUGCUGCCUCCCGUAGGAGUCUGGGCCGUGUCUCAGUCCCAGUGUGGCUGAUCAUCCUCUCAGACCAGCUACCGAUCAUCGCCUUGGUGGGCCUUUACCCCGCCAACUAGCUAAUCGGACAUCGGCCAACCCAAUCGCGUGAGGCCCUGCGGUCCCCCACUUUCCCCUCUCGGGCGUAUGCGGUAUUAAUCCGGCUUUCGCCGGGCUAUCCCCCACGACAUGGACAUGUUCCGAUGCAUUACUCACCCGUUCGCCGCUCGCCGCCAGGUUGCCCCGCGCUGCCGCUCGACUUGCAUGUGUAAAGCAUGCCGCCAGCGUUCAAUCUGAGCCAGGAUCAAACUC
rnacentral:rRNA from 1 species